AGACGCUGAAAUCAGCUUCCGGCAGAGAACAGAGCGCACAGCGCACAGGAAGAGAGCAGCGAGAGACGGAGGAAGUGGCUGCAGAAGAGCAUGACAGAGUUCUGGGUGUGUUUCAGCUGCUGCGUCGCUGAACAGCCGCAACCCAAGCGGAGGCGGAGGAUAGAUCGCUCGAUGAUCGGAGAACCCACAAACUUCGUUCACAUGACACACGUGGGCUCUGGAGACAUGGGAACGGGCCCGGGAGCGGUGAACUCGGUGCAGGCGCAGAUGAAGUCUAAAGGGUGGUUACGGGAACGGCACAGCGGAGAGCGUCCAGGGCUGAUCAGACGCUGUGAGUCCGUCUGAAGCACAGAUCACGUCACCGCCGGCCCACGGGUGUACAUACUUCUGUAAUGAAAGCACUGCUGUUCUUCUACUGCUUCAUCCAUUGUCCUGUACAAAACGUCCUCAGCGGUAGAGCUUGAUCUGAAUGUCUGUCAAAUGCAUGAUUGUUUAUAUGAGGAUCAAUAUUCUGAUUAGGUUUCUCCCACGGAUCUGUAUUUAUUUCAUGGUUUAAUGAUGGCUGUGCCACAUGAGAUACACAGAUACACAAAUUCAGACGCUUCAGAGCUGUCAUUGGGUCUGUAGUAACUGCUUUUGGUUACGUUUUGUAACUUUCCAAUAUUCUCUGGAAAAUGGAAUCUCUUUUUUUUUAAAUCUUUUAAAUGUGCUGUGUUUGAGGUAAACUUGAAAUGUGCAUCUCACUGUAAUAUUUGUGCAAUGCUCGUACAGGAUGCACUGAGAGGAAAGUAUUUUUGUACAAAUUGUGUUCAUUUUCAUUCUGAUGCCUGAAUAAAAAUUUCAACCUUGUAA